UUGUGACUAUGUCUUUCAAUAUAUCUCCUUAUAAAACUAAAAUUGCAGUCGAAAUAGGAUAAUCAAACAUAUAGUCUCUAAAAUAUGAAUAAAUGCAACAAAUAUACAAAAGAAAUGUAAAAGAAAUAAUGAAAAUAGGUCACUAACUGGUAUUUCACUCCAGAACAAUUCACAAUCAAGAAUUAAUUUAACUCUAACGUUUAUUUAGCUAGUGGUACUUUCAUCCUCGUCAGAAAGGUUAUUCGAUCAAACUGAAAGAUGGUUAGCGAAGUAUAGCUUAAUCAAUAUUGCACUUAUAUUCGAUGAAAAGGAAUUCCAUAAACCUUCCUAUAAUAACCAUAUUGGACGAUAACAUUAGUUGUACCACUGCACCACACUCAAAGGUUUGACAACAUUCAUAAGUAAGCCAGUAAAAGUAUAAGAAUAUUAUUUUGUCAAACAUUUGAAGUGUUAUCAUAAUCAUUUAUUUAUUGUAUUAGAUUAACAAUAAUGUGGGUAUUCGAUUUGUAAAUGUCCGCCUAUUUAACUUGAUAUAAUCGAUAUUUAUUUCAGCAAUCAAUGCGUCUUUGAGAAAAAGGGCAGCUACGUAUAGCUAGCAAGAUAAUCAAACUCAGAUACUAUUAUGUCAAUUUAGAACUUAGUGUAUGUGUGUAACACUCACACAUAUGCAUAUAUUUUGCUAUAGACAAGGUCAAUGCAUUGUAUUACAAUAUUACUUUU
rnacentral:lncRNA from 1 species